UUGAAAAUGAAUAAAUAAAUGAAAAUAAUAAUAAAGAGAUAGAUUUCCCCUACAGGAUAGUAAACAUUCUAGACACUUGCUACAUGGCAGGCAAGCUCAAGGGAAGUAUCUCAUUUGAUCCCCCGGACCUUGAGGAAGUAGCUCCUUCCCCCACUCUGCAGAGGCGUGGUGUGUCCAGGGUGACUCGGCUGGGAAGAGGCAAGCUGGGAUUUGGACCUAAGACAUCUGACGUCCAAUCCUGGGCAGUCCUCAUUGUGUCCUGUCCCUCUAGGUGUGGCUAAACCGUUGGCUGACCACCCUGGAGUGGGAAUCCUGUAUUACAGCUAAAAAGAGCCCACGUGCUAGCGGGGUAUGCAGGCAAGGUCUGAAGGUCCUGGGAAAGCAACUCUUCUGCCCAGAGGCGACCUGGGCCUUGGUGCCUGUCCUCUUAGGCACAGGAGAGCUCUCCCUGGGCACAGAGAUGCCAUCUUCCUAGUGCCCAGGGGUGGCAGACAUUGGAGGUUGAUUGCUACAGACAUCUCCUGCAGGUGUCUCCCACGGAUUCGAUGGCUUCUUCCUGCACUAGGCCACCCCUUUGUCAACACCAUGACACCAGGGAAAUGGAAUGAGCCCAGAGGAGGUGGCCUGUUGCUCUGAACUGAUGUUGGGGAAAUGUAAUAGGCCUUUCCUGGUUCCCCAGAGACCUGUUUUUCCAGACCUGAGUAGAUGGCUGAGCUGGACACAGCACCCCUCUCCCUUGGGGCUGGGACCCCAGGUGCCCUUCCUUCCGUACUCCCCCUGAACACCCCCCUUGGCUCCCUGUGCCCUCGCCUCUUGCAGGGAUGGGCCUGAAGG
rnacentral:lncRNA from 1 species